rnacentral:lncRNA from 15 species
GUGUUUUACUAUUUGAUGUUGUUUUGCUGCUUUUAUGUUUUUAUGUAAAGUGUCUUUGAGUACUCAGAGAAACGCUUGUGAAUUAAAAAAAAAUAUUAUUAUUAUUAGCAAACUCCUGAGUGAAGUAGUGAAGUAGUGAAGCAGUAAAGAUAAAGUACAAAAUAAGGGAAAUUUAAUUUCACACUGAUCAUUUUAAAGAGACACAGUUUUUGUGUCAAUCAGUGUUACCUUAUCAGCUACUUGUUACCUGAUGGAAAUGAUGGCAUUUAGUGAAUAACAGCAGCACAGCAGUGACAAACACACUAUUUGUCAGAGUUGUGAGAGGAAGGAGGGAGGGAUUAAGGGAGGAGCAAAACUGAGACUCAAGUACAGAAAAGACAGAAACUUUCACAGUGGUGUUUCAUCCAAAAAACAGACAGAUUGUCUUUAUCUUUAAGAUGCUGUCAGUGAACUUCAGUCUGUUUGUGACUUUGUUUCUGCUCACAAUAAGAGGUGUCAGCUGUGAAGAACUCACUCCACUGAAGAAACAAGAGUCCAGUUUAGAAGACAGCACUGUUACUCUGUCCUACAAAUACUACAAACAAGCAACUGGUAGUGAUUAUUUCUUCUGGUAUCGACAAUAUCCAGGAAAACCACCAGAGUUCCUCAUCUCUCACUUGGGAACACAAAAUGCAACAACCUCUAGACUGUCAGUUACAGUGAGUGAGGAUAAAACCCAAAUGGAUACUUUUCAUUUAUAGCCUUAUAUUUUCUAUUAUAUUUUGUAAUAUUCUUUUUUUUUUAGAUAUUUUAGUGUACUUUCACUUCUGUACUCUACAUUCCAUUUUGCUGCUGUGUCUAAUUUGAAUUUCUCCUACAGGGGAUCAAUAAAGGUACAUCUUUUAUCUUGGACUCAACUUUUUAGCUCCACUAGAGGGCGACAUUAUCAAGUAGGCGGUGCACUACUUCUGCACUGUGUUCAACCAUUCUGUCAAUAAUAACUGCUGCUGUGAAGAGAACAAUUGUCACACUGAAUGUUGAACAUCAGCUAGUUUCUCCUGUUGAUUUAAACCUUGUUGUAGAGAUGGAACAUUGGCUGUGGAUUAUUCUUGCUGCUCUUUUCUUUGGUAAGAUAGAAAGCACAACAUGUUUUUAUUCUUUUCUAAAGAUUGAUGGAAACUGGAGUUCAGAGCAGAAAUCUCUCAACAGUUGAGCUGUUUCUGUCCACAGAGUAACACUGUACACUUGAUAUUUUCCACUGUCUUCUCCUCUCAGCCUCAUGAACAAUGUUAGUCUAAUGGCUUCAUUUUCUCCACUUUUUCCAGGACUAAUAGCUGGAGACACAAUCUCUCCUGUAGGAGAUAAAGUCAGUGGAAGAGAAGGAGAAUCUGUCACACUCAAAUGUCAAUAUGAGACAACUGACAGCUAUAUUAGGCUUCACUGGUACAGACAUUCUGACCUUCAGGCUCCUCAGUUUAUACUCUGGAAAGGAGCAAGAUCCCGGAGUGGUGAGAAAUAUAUUCCAGAUGAACGAUAUGAAUCUAAAACAACAAGAUUCAUCAACUGAACUGACCAUCAGAAAACUAACCCUGGCAGACACAGCUCUCUACUACUGUGCUCUAGAAACACAGUGAUACAAAGUGUAGAAGAGGCUGUACAAAAACCUGAACACAGAUAUCUGACUACUCUUCAAAGAGGAGGGAAGUGGUAUUCAAACCACAGCUUCAUAUCAGAUGGAUUCUGCUAAUUCCUGUUUUAUCAGAGUCACUGUGGUUACAGCUGCUAAUGAAACACUGUGGGAGGAUUCACAUGAGCAGCAAAUCCACAUCAAUGACAAACCAACUGGAUGAUGCUUCAAACACAAGACUCCAUGGAAACAAAUAAAUCAACACUGAAAAUUAAAAUGAGUAAUAUGUGACAUCUGGACAACAACUUGUCUAACAUUAAAACUUUUAGCUAAAUAAAUAGAUUUGUGACCUGUGAUUAUGUAUCUAAAGUGCAUUUAUCAUACAUU